CUACGGGUGGCAGCAGUGAGGAAUAUUGGUCAAUGGGCGCGAGCCUGAACCAGCCAUCCCGCGUGCAGGAUGACGGCCCUAUGGGUUGUAAACUGCUUUUCUAUGCCAAGAAACCUGAUUACGUGUAAUCAGUUGUCGGUAGCAUAGGAAUAAGCAUCGGCUAACUCCGUGCCAGCAGCCGCGGUAAUACGGAGGAUGCAAGCGUUAUCCGGAUUCAUUGGGUUUAAAGGGUGCGCAGGUGGGCUUGUAAGUCAGUGGUGAAAUGCUGACGCUUAACGGUAGAACUGCCAUUGAUACUGCGAGUCUUGAGUAUGGUUGAGGUAGGCGGAAUGUGUUGUGUAGCGGUGAAAUGCAUAGAUAUGACACAGAACGCCAAUUGCGAAGGCAGCUUACUAAGCCAUUACUGACGCUGAGGCACGAAAGCGUGGGGAGCGAACAGGAUUAGAUACCCUCGUAGUC
rnacentral:rRNA from 1 species